AAUGAACGCUGGCGGCGCGCCUAAUACAUGCAAGUCGAGCGAGAAGACGUAGCAAUACGUUUGUAAAGCGGCGAACGGGUGAGGAAUACAUGGGUAACCUACCCUAGAGUGGGGAAUAACUAGCCGAAAGGUUAGCUAAUACCGCGUACGCUCCUUGGACUUCGGUUCAGGGAGGAAAGCGAUGCCGAGGGUAUCGCGCUCUUGGAUGGGCUCAUGUCCUAUCAGCUUGUUGGGAGGUAACGGCUCACCAAGGCUUCGACGGGUAGCUGGUCUGAGAGGACGAUCAGCCACACUGGCACUGCGACACGGGCCAGACUCCUACGGGAGGCAGCAGUAAGGAAUAUUGCGCAAUGGGCGAAAGCCUGACGCAGCGACGCCGCGUGGGGGAGUGAAGGUCUUCGGA
rnacentral:rRNA from 1 species